rnacentral:rRNA from 1 species
UACGGAGGGGGCUAGCGUUGUUCGGAAUUACUGGGCGUAAAGCGCGCGUAGGCGGAUCUGCAAGUCGGGGGUGAAAUCCUGGGGCUCAACCUCAGAAUUGCCUCCGAUCUGGCAGCCUCGAGUGCGGGAGAGGUGAGUGGAAUUCCCAGUGUAGAGGUGAAAUUCGUAGAUAUUGGGAAGAACACCAGUGGCGAAGGCGGCUCACUGGCCCGUAACUGACGCUGAGGUGCGAAAAGCGUGGGGAGCAAACAGG